CAACUAUUACACUGCUAAUAAAAUAUCAAAAGUAUAUCAACAACGACAGCAUGAAAAUAGAAAUUAUUCUAGAUAAGGUGAACCCUGUUCCGAACUGCUCAGCAUGGUUUGAGGGUCGGUUUAUCAAUGAUGCAUUUUGUUGCUGUGAUGAAACGAUACACGUAUCAUAAUGAUGUUAAAGUUAUUUACGAUUUUCCUGUUGACAAUGUCGGCUGUGAAGGUAGACUGCAAAUACUUUGCAACCUUGUUUAUCGUAAUGUUUCUAUUUUUGACGAAUACAUAGAUAUAUGUCAGGAAAAAGAUGAAGGCAUGCUGGCAAUGAUUAUAAUAUCCACCGGAUGUGCUGUGUUUGUUAUGAUUUUGUUUAUUUGCAUUUUCUUGGCCAAAAGACGUGAUAUUCUGUUUGGUAGACGAUUAUUAACUGCUGACACAAAGAAACAAGAAACGGAAAAAUCACCAAUAUUAAAUGUGUAGUUAAGUUAAUACCUUUUUGUUACUGGGAAAAUUUUGCCGUACAUUUUACGUUGCUUGUGUUAUUACAUCACAGUCACAAUGAAUUCCUCAAUGAAGUCAUCAACGAUGGGUGCAAUAAUAAAAAAAUGAACAGGCGGUUUGUUUAUUCAUUUAAACAAAACUUUUUUACCAUAUCAAUACUACACAGAUGUAAUGCUAUGUAAAAUGUCUGCUAUUAAUGAAAUCUUAUAUCAUUAUUGUCAAGGCAAAUUUUUCAUCGUUGCAUCCACCAUUGUUUCAUUGCAUCCAGCAGUGCAUGCAGACGUAACGUUAAAUUUUGUGUUUUGUGUUCAAGGUAUUGAAGAAUAACAUAAUUUUAAAACCAAAUUCAUCAUAGCCAUAAUUUUAUAAGACAAUAGAAGCAGAGCUAGUUAAUGUAAAACAGCAUUGGCAUAACAGAACACAUUACAAGUUUAAUAAAUACAAGAUCAAAUUUCAAGUUCAUCUGACGAAGUAUUUUAGAUACUUUUUUAACACUUAAGUGUCUAUUUUAGUUGAUCCAAUAAGUUUAUGUGAAAGAUUUUUACUAAUAUACUAAUUAAAACGCUCAGAUUCUAGCUUAGGUAUGAAAUCAAAUCUAUCAAAAAUGCCCAAAAAUGUAAUUUUCAAAUGGUUUUUGUCCCAAAAAAAAGUGGUCGCAUCCUUGUUCAUCCUCAAUCUUUAUAAAUGUUAUGUAUUAUCACCAAAUUCAACUUACAUUUCAAUAUUAAGAACGAACACGAAUGCGGCCACUUUCAUUUUACCAACAUGCUAAAAUUGUGAAAAAUUCAAU